rnacentral:sRNA from 1 species
CUUGGUCAUUUAGAGGAAGUAAAAGUCGUAACAAGGUUUCCGUAGGUGAACCUGCGGAAGGAUCAUUAAGAAUUGAUAAUAUUUGUGAAAUUUAUACAAACAACAACAAUCAUACAAUCAAAACAAAAAUAAUCAAAACUUUUAACAAUGGAUCUCUUGGUUCUCGUAUCGAUGAAGAACGCAGCGAAACGCGAUAUUUCUUGUGAAUUGCAGAAGUGAAUCAUCAGUUUUUGAACGCACAUUGCACUUUGGGGUAUCCCCCAAAGUAUACUUGUUUGAGCGUUGUUUCUCUCUUGGAAUUGCAUUGCUUUUCUAAAAUUUCGAAUCAAAUUCGUUUGAAAAACAACACUAUUCAACCUCAGAUCAAGUAGGAUUACCCGCUGAACUUAAGCAUAUCAAUAAGCGGAGGAAAAGAAACCAACAGGGAUUGCCUUAGUAACGGCGAGUGAAGCGGCAAAAGCUCAAAUUUGAAAUCGGCCCCCAGGUCGAGUUGUAAUUUGUAGAUUGUAUCUUGAGAGCGGAUUAAAGUCUGUUGGAACACAGCGCCUUAGAGGGUGACAGCCCCGUAAAAUCUAUUCUCAUUGUAAGAUACUUUCGAAGAGUCGAGUUGUUUGGGAAU